UGAACCGGGUUGCGGACAGUGUCUGGUGGGUAGUUUGACUGGGGCGGUCUCCUCCUAAAGAGUAACGGAGGAGCACGAAGGUUGGCUAAUCCUGGUCGGACAUCAGGAGGUUAGUGCAAUGGCAUAAGCCAGCUUGACUGCGAGCGUGACGGCGCGAGCAGGUGCGAAAGCAGGUCAUAGUGAUCCGGUGGUUCUGAAUGGAAGGGCCAUCGCUCAACGGAUAAAAGGUACUCCGGGGAUAACAGGCUGAUACCGCCCAAGAGUUCAUAUCGACGGCGGUGUUUGGCACCUCGAUGUCGGCUCAUCACAUCCUGGGGCUGAAGUAGGUCCCAAGGGUAUGGCUGUUCGCCAUUUAAAGUGGUACGCGAGCUGGGUUUAGAACGUCGUGAGACAGUUCGGUCCCUAUCUGCCGUGGGCGCUGGAGAAUUGAGGGGGGCUGCUCCUAGUACGAGAGGACCGGAGUGGACGCAUCACUGGUGUUCGGGUUGUCAUGCCAAUGGCAUUGCCCGGUAGCUAAAUGCGGAAGAGAUAAGUGCUGAAAGCAUCUAAGCACGAAACUUGCCCCGAGAUGAGUUCUCCCUGACUCUUUAAGAGUCCUGAAGGAACGUUGAAGACGACGACGUUGAUAGGUCGGGUGUGUAAGUGUAGCGAUACAUUGAGCUAACCGAUACUAAUGAACCGUGAGGCUUAACCUU
rnacentral:rRNA from 1 species